rnacentral:lncRNA from 1 species
UGAUUAUAGAUUUUCUCCUUUUAAUUUUUUCUUUUUAAAUUAUGUUUAGGUACUGAACUUGUUGAAGUAUUUAGUGAUAGAUAACAAGGAUAAUGAAAACCUCUAUCUCACGAUUAAGCUUUUAGAUCCUUUUCCUGACCACGUUCUUUUUAAGGAUUUGCGUAUUACUCAACAGAGUAUCAAAUACAGUAGAGGGCCUUUUUCACUUUUGGAGGAAAUUAACCAUUUUCUUGCAGUAAGUGAUUAUGAUGCGCUUCCAUUGACAAGGCUUGAAGGAUUAAAGGAUCUUCGAAGACAACUAGAACAACAUAAAGAUCAGAUGAUGGACCUUAUGAGAGCAUCUCAGGGUACUAAUUUAAAUGUCAUGGGUUAUUUCUACCUAUUUCUUUUUGAAA